rnacentral:rRNA from 1 species
GACGUAGGGGGCCAGCGUUGUUCGGAAUUACUGGGUGUAAAGGGUUCGUAGGCGGUGUGGCAAGUCGGGAGUGAAAUCUCUGGGCUCAACUCAGAGACUGCUUCCGAAACUGCUGUGCUGGAGUGUGGGAGAGGCGCGUGGAAUUGCAGGUGUAGCGGUGAAAUGCGUAGAUAUCUGCAGGAACACCCGUGGCGAAAGCGGCGCGCUGGACCACUACUGACGCUGAGGAGCGAAAGCUAGGGGAGCAAACGGG